AGUGCGGUCGCAAGAUUAAAACUCAAAGGAAUAGACGGGGACCCGCACAAGUGGUGGAGCAUGUGGUUUAAUUCGAAGAUACGCGAAGAACCUUACCUAGCCUUGACAUUGAUUGAAUACCCUAGAGAUAGAGUAGUGCCCUUCGGGGAACAUGAAAACAGGUGCUGCACGGCUGUCGUCAGCUCGUGUCGUGAGAUGUUGGGUUAAGUCCCGCAACGAGCGCAACCCUCGUCCUUAGUUGCCAGCAGGUUAAGCUGGGCACUCUAAGGAGACUGCCUUCGCAAGGAGGAGGAAGGUGAGGACGACGUCAAGUCAUCAUGGCCCUUAUGGCUAGGGCUACACACGUGCUACAAUGGGGCGUACAGAGAGUUGCGAUACCGCGAGGUGGAGCCAAUCUCAUAAAGCGUCUCUCAGUUCGGAUUGGGAGUCUGCGACUCGACUCCAUGAAGCUGGAAUCACUAGUAAUCGUAGAUCAGCAAUGCGUACGGUGGAUACGUUCCCGGGUCUUGCACACACCGCCC
rnacentral:rRNA from 1 species